GCGGCGGUGACCGCACGGCAGCACUAAUGCGGAUUCAGAACUCCGAAGUUAAGCGUGCUUGGGCGAGAGCAGUACUAGGAUGGGUGACCCCCUGGGAAGUCCUCGUGUUGCACCU
rnacentral:rRNA from 1 species